AUUGAACGCUGGCGGCAGGCCUAACACAUGCAAGUCGAACGAGUGGCGGACGGGUGAGUAAUGUCUGGGAAACUGCCUGAUGGAGGGGGAUAACUACUGGAAACGGUAGCUAAUACCGCAUACCAUCAGAACUGCCUAGAUGUGAUUAGCUAGUUGGUGGGGUAACGGCUCACCAAGGCGACGAUCCCUAGCCGGUCGGAGAGGAUGACCAGCGACACGGGAACUGAGACACGGCCCAGACUCCUACGGGAGGCAGCAGUGGGGAAUAUUGCACAAUGGGCGCAAGCCUGAUGCAGCCAUGCCGCGUGUAUGAAGAAGGCCUUCGGGUUGUAAAGUACUUUCAGCGGGGAGGCGUUACCCGCAGAAGAAGCACCGGCUAACUCCGUGCCAGCAGCCGCGGUAAUUC
rnacentral:rRNA from 1 species